rnacentral:lncRNA from 1 species
GUGUAGGAAAUUAGGUGGGGUGGAUUAAGAUAAUUUUUAAUUUAAAAAGUAAAUGUGGGGCGUUUUAGUACAUGGGGUGUGGUCAAUAAAAUGUGAGGUGUUAAUAAAACAACCCUAGUAAGAAUUGUAUUUUUGUAUUUCUAUAUCAUGUGACUUCUAGCAAGAUGUACCAAUGAGAAUUCUUUUUGGCGCACUGACAGAAAAUCAUAACAAACCCAAAGAGCAUGCCGAAGGAAACCAACUGAAAAUGCGACUUUGAAGGAACUACCGGACUCAUGUGAAAUUUAUUCUCAACAAUUUCACAGAAUUUUCGGAAAACCAAAUUGUGUUGCCUUUUUUUAUUUAUAACAAUCUCCUCUUGUUACUAUCCAGAGAGAGUGAAUUCAUCACAACCAUAACAAUCAAGCUUAAAAAAAA